GGGGGUAUAGCUCAGUGGUAGAGUACAUGCUUGGCAUGCACAAGGUCCUGAGUUCAAUCCCCAGAACCUCCA
rnacentral:tRNA from 1 species